rnacentral:rRNA from 1 species
UACGUAGGGGGCAAGCGUUGUCCGGAAUCAUUGGGCGUAAAGCGCGUGUAGGCGGCUCGAUAAGUCUGCUGUGAAAGUCCAGGGCUCAACCCUGGGAUGCCGGUGGAUACUGUCGAGCUCGAGUCCGGAAGAGGCGAGUGGAAUUCCUGGUGUAGCGGUGGAAUGCGCAGAUAUCAGGAGGAACACCGAUGGCGAAGGCAGCUCGCUGGGACGGUACUGACGCUAAGGCGCGAAAGCGUGGGGAGCGAACAGG